UUGAGCGAAGGCGGUCCCGUGU
rnacentral:misc_RNA from 1 species